GACGAACGCUGGCGGCGUGCUUAACACAUGCAAGUCGAGCGGUAAGGCCCUUUCGGGGGUACACGAGCGGCGAACGGGUGAGUAACACGUGGGUGACCUGCCCUCAGCUCUGGGAUAAGCCUGGGAAACCGGGUCUAAUACUGGAUAUGACUCCAUGACGCAUGUUGUGGGGUGGAAAGCCUUGUGCGGCUGAGGAUGGGCCCGCGGCCUAUCAGCUUGUUGGUGGGGUGANGGCCUACCAAGGCGACGACGGGUAGCCGGCCUGAGAGGGCGACCGGCCACACUGGGACUGAGACACGGCCCAGACUCCUACGGGAGGCAGCAGUGGGGAAUCUUGCGCAAUGGGCGAAAGCCUGACGCAGCGACGCCGCGUGAGGGACGACGGCCUCGGUU
rnacentral:rRNA from 1 species